rnacentral:tRNA from 1 species
GCGUUUAUAGCUUAAUUCGGAUAAAGCAUUAAAUUACGAAUUUAAAUAGUGAAAGUUCAAAUCUUUCUAAACGUA